rnacentral:lncRNA from 1 species
AUGAGUAGUUAUCCUCGUUGCCUCAUCCAUAAUCUUUCGACCAAUAAAAGAGAAGUUCACUGUCUUCCCGUGUGAAUUAACACACAAUUCCAUUCAUAAUGAGAAAUAUCAUCAUGAAUUUAAUACACUGAAGUUAAAUGUCGUUAUACUCUCAACAACUCUCACAACUCUCACAACUCUUAGAAUAGUUCUAAUUACUAUUCUAACACUAGAACCUUACAAUUUGCUAAAGUUCAGUUUACUACAGCUUCUCUACUCAUUUGUUUUUCUUUUGAGUUUUUUUAGUAAACU